CCUCUCCUAAGAAAGACUCUGCAUUUCCCUCAUUAUCCCACUAACCGAGCACUUGAGACGGACUUUGACACUUCCAGGAAUCUGUUGCUGCGUGUGACACCUCUUGCAAGCUCCCAGAGAGAAUUGAUGGAGCAUACAGCUAGGGAAUGGGAUGCCAGAGAAGCACAGAGGAAGAAAUCAUGCAAUCGCCAGGAUGGGAAGGGACCGCAUCCAUUGGAUAUGGGACGAGAUCACUCUGCAACCCUUGUGGAUUCUCCUUCUUCUAGAGGGGAAUUAUAGUUAUGGAUUUAUUGUCCCGGUGCAGCACUUCCACCACCAGCAGCAGCAGCAACAGCAGCAGCUUUCUGACUCUCUUCGGUGAC
rnacentral:lncRNA from 1 species